ensembl:lncRNA
CUACCAUAUGCAUUCUGUCAUGAAAAGUGUAGGCUAUUUCUUUUCCAGCAGAAAACAAAGAUUGGCUGAAAAAAAGACUCCUCUAGAAGCACUGAGGUAAAGGUUUAAAAUGAGUUUUUAUUUUGGUUUUUAGUGCAGAACCCUUUCCCUCCUUCCUGUGUGCUAUAAAACUAUUUGAAUAUGAUGUAGAUGGAAGUCAGUCCAGGAUCCACCCUACCAGUAUAGAGCCCAUGAACCCUUUCAGUACGAUUCAGGAGAACACAGAUCAAUCAAAAUCAAAACAGUAAAAAACAAAUUGAUUCAGUGCAUGGGCAAUAAAAACAACUGGGCAACAUUCAGAAUACAAAUAAAAAGAGGGCUUUUUUUUUUUUUUUUUUGGGACCUGGAUAGAGCUGCAGUUUGCAGUCACUCAAACUCAAGAGUCAAUUUCUUCUUCUCUCUUUCACAGCACAUGAAGGUGGGAGACAGUGAUACACUCUCACUCUAUAAACUAGUGACCACAAAGCGCAAACAUGAACAGAACAGUCAAAUGAAAAAUCACAAGUCUAUACACCACAACAGUUAUUUAAACUCUUAGAGUCUUCAUCGUCUUAUUAGAUAUUCCACAGUGGUUGUUUUCAAAUGGUAUGUUCAUAGGAUGAAGCCUGUAUGCCUGUGUGAGUGCGUCAGUGCAUGUGUCUGUGUGUGCAUGCACUUGUGUGCGCGUAAGUGUGUGUGUGUGUGUGUGUAUACGGGCUGUGUGUAUAUACAAUUGAUUCAAUAUAUCUUGGGCAAAGACUGAAAAGUUAUGCUCCCCAUGGUCCACCAUUGUAGAAAAAUAAAUAAAUAAUUUAAAAAAGAAAACAAAAAUGUGUCAAAAUGUUGAGGUCAUUUUAGCUUCCGUUGUUCAUUUAGAAGUCUCUUUUCUUUUUAAGAUUGUUGUCGUUCUUGUUGUUGUAGCUGUUAUUUUUUACUAGCUCCUGGUCUUCCUCCAGGCAUGGGGUUAGUAAAGGUCAAGGUGGGCGGGGCCUGUGCAGAUGUGGGCGGUCCCAGGGUGGGUUUAGUCCUCUAUUUUCCAGUGGUGGUGUGGCGGCCAUGGUCAGAUGAUGGCUACAUGCG